GAUUUUUCCCUCUCUCUCUUUGGCAUCUCUUUCUCUACUUCCUCUUGAGUUUCUUUGAGUCUGUAAAUUUUCUCUUAUUGUAUGGUUUCUGCAAUCUAGUUAUGGAGUUUAUAUUUUGGGUUAAUGAUCAGGCCUGAGAGAGUGGCUGAUCUUGUAUUGUAAAAUUCCUAAACGAUUGGUUGACUUCGUGGUUUGUGUGUUUCACGAGAUCUUUUAGAUCGAUGACUGAAACUGUAAGAUCUGAGUGGUUCUUAAUGUACUCUUGCUCUCUUGGAAGGUAAAUUGUGCCAUAGUGGAACGGGCUGUCCCUGAGCCCCCCCAGAUUAGGCCUAUUUACGGCUAAACUGGGUCAACAAUUUGGUGUUCUUGUGUUACUUUUUCUAUUCUCAUUGUGUGUUUUCGAUUUUAUUGCAAAUUUAGUUUACAAGUCAACUGAAAUUCUUUUCGUAUUGAUAUCAGAGUCUUCUGGCUUCUGGGUUCAGUACACUCUAUAUAAAUCCAUGUUGGGUUUUUUAUUUUUUAUUUUUUUUGGUUUCAAAUAGUGUAGAUCGUUUUUUCAAAUCUACACAAAGGUGGUUCGGUAUAUUGUCCAUUAUUUUUGUCUUUGGAUUUUUUUUGGCAAUAAUUCUUACUGAUUCGUUUGAGUUUUGAAGGUGACAUAGAAAGGAGGUUCGUGUUUACUGGCUGGUUUGAAUGCUUUAUAUGUAUAAAACAGUCACUGCAAUAAUCCGGUACAAUCUGACCAUUACCCUCUUGGAUCUAGUUUGACAUGGGUUAUUUAUGAUAUAGUUUAUUUCAUGAUGCAUGUUGUUCUUGAUUUAGUGAACUGAAAUAAUAUACUUGUUAUCUAUCUACUAACAUGUUAUCUAGUUAUAGAACCCGCCUUGCACCUUUGAGAUAUCUAACUGAAGUUUUGAUAUACCUGUUUUUUCUUUUAUACACACACACACACUGUCAAAUAUCUAUUAUAUUCUACCUCAAUCUUUGAAAAGUUGUUAUUGAAUUUUUUGGGUUUCCUGAAACUGUCUAUUAUUGGUUUUCUUGAAACUGCUUGAUACAAAAUUUUUCAAAAAACCUUUUCUGCAAUAUCCAUGAGUAAUGCCCACCCUUUUACAGAAUCCGUAAUGGGUUUGAAGGUCGAAUUGUCCCUAUUCGAUGGAAAGAGGGACUACUCUAUAUGGAAGCAGAAAACGAGGGCCAUUUUGGUCCAACGGAAGGUUGCAAAAGCCAUUGAUGAUACUGCAACUUUUUCUGAUGAGUUAAAAGCAAAACCUAACGAAAUUGAAGAAAUGAAUGAGAUUGCCUAUAGUUCUAUAAUCCUGCAUUUAUCUGAUAAUGUGGUUAGACAAGUUGAUGAUUCUAAAACUGCAAGAACUUUGUAGAUUGCCUUGGAUGGUUUGUUCUUAACCAAAACUCUUCCUAACAAGAUAUAUCUAUUAGAAAAACUAUUUAGUUUUAAAAUGGACACAGGAAAGGAUUUGGAAGUCAAUUUAAGUGAUUUUAGUAUUAUAGUUAAGAGUUUAGCACACAAUGAUAAAAAAUUUGAAGAUGAGAACUUGGCUGUUAUUCUUUUAAAUUCACUGCCUGAAUCUUACAAAGAUGUUAAGAAUGUCAUAAAGUAUGCUAGGGACACUCUUACACAAUCGAUUGUAAUAGAUGCUUUAAGGUCAAAAGUGUUAGAAGUUAGGAGAGAAAAUAGAACCAACUAUAGAGAAGAGAGCCUAUUUGUAAGGGGAAGAACUGAAAAGAAGGAAUGUAAUUUUCAAAACAAGAAAAUGAAGGAGAGAUCUAAAAGCAUAUCUAAAUCUAAAGAUAGAAGUAAUAAGAAGUGUUACAACUGUGGGAAGUUGGGACACUUUAAGAGGGACUGCUUUGAUUGGAAAAGGAAAUUAAAAGAUCAGAAUAAUAAUGAUCGGAAUAAUGCAGCCAUAGUGUUAGAAUUGGAUAGCUUCCUUGUACUAAAUGUGUUAGCUGAAAACUCUAUUAGAGACUGGAUCCUAGAUAUUGUAUAUACCUUUCAUAUGCAUCCUGAAAAAACAUGGUUUUAUAACUAUAAAAAAAUAGAACCAGGAAAGGUGUAUAUGGGUGAUAAUAAUUCCCAAACUGUGAUUGGCAUAGGUGACAUUGUCAUAAAAAUGUUUGAUGGCAUUGUCAGAACUUUAAGAAAUGUGAGAUAUGUCCCAAAUUUAAAAAGGAACCUUAUUUCACUAGGGAUACUUGAAGAUGAGGGAUAUAUCUUCAAAUUUGAUAAUAAAAACCUAAAAAUUAUGAAGGGCUCUUUAGUUGUGAUGAAAGGACCUAAAAGGAAUGGGUUAUAUUAUCUAGAGGGAGAAACAAUUAUAUCACCUGAUUCAAAUGCUUUAACUGUUAAUGAAAACAAAUCUAGUCUUUGACACAAUAGAAUGGGACACAUUGAAAAUAAAGGGCUAAAAUCUUUAAGUAAUCAAAAAUUACUUGGAAAAGAUGACAUUGAGCCAGUGAACUUUUGUGAGACUUGUGUGUUGGGUAAGUCUCACAAAGUUAGUUUUUAAUCUAGCUCAUACAGAACCAAUAGGCCCUUGGAUUAUGUGCAUGCUGACCUUUGGUGUCCAGAAAAACACUCCACUUUUGGUGGAAGUAAAUACUUUUUAUCACAUGUAGAUGACUACUCUAGGAAGGUUUGGAUUUAUCCAUUAAAGGCUAAAUCUAAAACCUUCCAGAAGUUCAGAACAUGGCUGAAAAUUGUUGAAAAUCAAUUAGAGAAGAAGAAAUUGAAAACCCUAAGAACUGAUAAUGGGCUGGAGUUCUCCAAUAUAGAAUUUGAUAAUUUCUGGAAACAGAAAUGAAUAUUAAGGCAUAGGACUGUGAAAUACACACCCCAGCAAAAUGGGAUAGCUGAGAGAAUGAACAGGACUAUAAUGAAUAAAGUAAUAUGCAUGCUUAUUAGUUCUAGUUUGGCUAAAGGGUUUUGGGCUGAAGCUGCUUGUACAGCAGCUUACUUGAUUAAUAUGUCCCCUUCUAGUAGUAUAGGGUUUAAGACCCCACAAGAAUUGUGGACAGGAAAAAUCCCAAACUUAAUUCUUAUAAGGGUUUUUGGAUAUGCAGCAUAUGCACAUCAAUCCGAAGGAAAGUUGGAACCUAGAGCCAUCAAAUGUGUGAUGCUAGGAUAGCCAGAAGGUGUUAAAGGCUACAUCUUGUGGGUUUUGGGUAUUUCAGGCAUUAAGAUUAUUAAUAGUAGAGAUGUAAUCUUUAAUGAAUUAGAAAUGUCAUGAGUAAGACAAAGUUCUAAAGGAAAAAAUGAAUCUGUAAACAACCAAACUGUUCAGAGUGAGGUGAAGUUAACUAAAUUUAACCCAUUUCAACCUGGAGAUGAUGAAAAUGAAGUUGUACAUUAUCAGGUUGAACAAGUUACUGAAGCUGUAGAGCCUAAUGAACCCUAGAAUGGGGCUGAAUCUGAAGAACUUGAUCAUAUUGCUGAACAAACUAAGGUUCAAGACUAUCAAUUAACUAGGGAUAGGGUAAGAAGACAAUCUAGAUCCAAUUCUAGAUAUGAACUAUUAAAUAUGACAGACUUUGCCUUAGACUCCAGAGAAGAAAUAGAACAAGCUGAACCUACCUCUUAUGAAGAAGCUAUUCAUGGGAAAAAUUCUGAAAAUUGGUUACAGGCCAUGAAAGAAGAAAUGCAAUCUCUGAAUGAAAAUAAAACUUGGAAGCUUGUUAAAAAAACCUAAGGAUCAUAGGGUAGUACAGUGUAAAUGGGUUUACAAGCUUAAAGAGGGUAAUGGCCCAUAUGAUCUUGUUAGGUUUAAGGCUAGACUCGUGGCAAAGGGGUAUACUCAGAUAGAAGGAGUUGAUUACAAUGAGAUAUUCUCACCUGUAAUCAAAUAUAAAACCAUAAGGUUGAUAUUGGCCAUGGUUGCUCAAUAUAAUUGGGAACUUGAGCAACUUGACGUGAAAACUGCAUUCUUAUAUGGGGAAUUGGAAGAGGAUAUCUUCAUGAGUCAGCCUCAAGGUUUUGAAGUUAAAAACAAAUCUGUAUAUGUUUGGAAACUGGAAAAAUUAUUGUAUGAGCUGAAAUAGAGCCCUAGACAAUGGUAUAAAAGGUUUGAUGCAUACGUGUUAAAGAUUGGGUUCAAAAGAAGUGAAUUUGAUGCUUGCUUAUAUUAUAACAAUAUGAGAAGUGGGGGGAAAUUUACUUACUACUUUACUUAGAUGAUAUGCUUCUGGCCAAUCUUGAUAAGUCUCAAAUUUCUAGAUUAAAGAAUCUUUUGAAAUCUGAAUUUGAUAUGAAGGACCUAGGAUAUGCUAGAAAAAUUCUAGGGAUGGUUAUAAAAAGAAUCAGAUCUGAAAACAAGUUAACCAUCACACAAGAAGCAUACUUAAAUAAAGUUGUGACCGAAUUUGGUAUGAAAGAUAGUAAAACAGUUAAUGUACCCCUAGCUGCCCACAUGAACCUAUCUAAGACUCACUUCCCUAAAUCUGAAGAAGAGAUGAAAGAAAUGGAAAAUAUACCUUAUGCAAAUGCCAUAGGUUCUGUAAUGUUUUCCAUGAUAACAACUAGACCUGACCUUGCUUAUGCAAUCAGUUUCCUAAGCAGAUUUAUGUCCAAUCCUGGCGAGCCUCAUUGGGCUGGGAUGAAAUGGUUACUUAGGUAUAUUGUUGGUACAUUAAAUCUGGGAUUAGUGUAUGAGAAAAGAUCUAAAAAUUUAACUUUAAAAGGGUAUGUUGAUGCUGAUUUUGUCGGUGACAAAGAUAGUGGAAAAUCUACUACAGCUUAUUUCUUUACCCUUGGGGAAAAUUGCAUAACUUGGAAACCUCAAUUGCAACCAUUGGUUACAUUGUCCAGCACUGAAGCUGAGUAUGUAGCCAUAACUGAAGCUAUGAAAGAAUGUACUUGGUUAAUGGGGAUUUUAAAGGAACUGAACUUUAUGAAUGAUACUCCUAUUUUAUACACCGAUAGUCAAAGUGCUUUGCUCUAUAGUAAAAAUCAUGUCUAUCAUGAAAGAUCGAAACACAUCGAGGUGAAGUAUCACUUUAUAGGAGAAAAAAUAUCUCAAGUGAAGUUAAAUUGAUUAAAGUUCAUACUGAUAAAAAUCCUUCCGAUAUGGGAACCAAAGUUUUACCUAUAAGUAAGUUUAAAAAAUGUUUAUCCUUACUUCAUAUUGACACAGAUUAAUUUUCUUUUGCAGGUACUAGGGCGAUGAUGAUGGAUAGCUGUUCCAUGGCACUUUCAACAACUAGAGAGCGAGUGUUAUUGAGAAUCAAGGUGAAGAAUGUGAAAAGUGGUGUUUCUCCAAACACUCUAAAACGAGUGCUACUUUUGUCAAUUGGGUUUUCGGCUUACUUGGAAAAUUCUACCUAAUUGGCACUCGACUAUUGGAUACUUGAUACUCACUUGAAUUGUGCUAGUUGAGACUCGUUUUGGACCAUUGGAUUAAAUCAAAGGCUGAGAUUAACCCUGCGAUGUGAACUGUCCUAUUACACCCAAAAGUCUCGUGACUUUUGGUGGAUAUUCUAGAUUUUUCCCUCUCUCCCUUUGGCGUCUCUCUCUCUACUUUCUCUUGAGUUUCUUUGAGUCUGUAAAUUUUCUCUUAUUGUAUGGUUUUUGCGAUUUGGUUAUGGAGUUUAUAUUUUAGGUUAAUGAUCAGGCCUGAGAGAGUGGCUGAUCUUGUAUUGUAAAAUUCCUAAACGAUUGGUUGACUUUGUGGUUUGUGUGUUUCACAAGAUCUUUUAGAUCGGUGACUGAAACUGUAAGAUCUAAGUGGUUCUUGUUGUACUCUUGCUCUCUUGGAAGGUUAAUUGUGCCAUAAUGGAACGGGCUGUCCCUGAGCCCCCCAGAUUAGGCCUAUUUAUGGCUAAACUGGGUCAACAAUUUGGUGUUCUUGUGUUAAUUUUCUAUUCUCAU
rnacentral:lncRNA from 1 species